rnacentral:misc_RNA from 1 species
AACAUCGCGCACCUGCGGGAACCUGCGGAGGGAUCAUUAAAAGGAUCGACGUAUAUGGACGAUCAAAAAAAUCCAUAUCCACCUUGUGUGCACUCACUGACCGUUCGCUUUGGCAGGAGGGAGUCUUGGAUGAUUUUUAUUUUCCAAGCGGGGGGAGGAAGGGAAAAGACAACAUUCUCUUUCUCCCUCGGCCUGCCAGAGUUUUUAAAAUCAACCCUUUAUUCUUCUUUUUGGACUGAA